rnacentral:lncRNA from 1 species
AAAUUAAAUUAAAAGGACAAUUAGGGACAAAAAGGACGGAGUUGAGAUUGAGGGAGGGAGACAAGGAAACAUGACUGACUCCUUUGGAGGAAGUUUUAGAUCCAUUUGCAAGGGUUAUGAAAUGAGGUUUCUCUCGAAAAGAAAUAGAUGAGAACAAAGAGGUAUUACCAGAAAUAUGAUCAGAAGCACCUGAGUCAAUUACCCAUGAAUUUGGACCUUCCAUGGAUUGAGAAAUGCAGGUUGUUGAUGUACUGGGAGAUU